AAUCUAAAUUAGACUAUUCUCUG
rnacentral:tRNA from 1 species